GUUUUUGUAGUUGAAUAACAACGAUAGUUUUUCGGAUUAUUGGUCUUAGUUAAAGUCUAAGUGAGAAUG
rnacentral:tRNA from 1 species